CUUAUGGGCUUAUACUGACCUGUCCUAUUUCUGCAACGCCCUGCUGUGAAAGCGACAGUACAACAGCAAAGGAAGAUGAGGGAAGCGCAAAGAACAACAGGAAUCAACCAGACACCCAAAGCUGCAGCUUCCCAAGCAGCUGCGGUGAGUGGACCACUUCUAAAAGCAAAGUGAUCAAGGAAGACAACUUUGAGAUGUUUGCUCGUGUGUAAUAUACCUGUCUACUUAAAACUGGACUGCAACCUUUCAUUUCACCCAGAUUAUUAAAAAAACAUCCUGAACUGCAAUAACUACCUACACAAAGAUCAAGGUUGUCUGCCCAGCUGAAACAAAACCAGUAAUGUUUCCAAGUAAAACUGGGAUCCUAAACUCUAAUGAUAGCAAGAAAACCGUUCUUCACUUGCAUCACGUGUUGUAGCAGUGUCUACCCUUGCCUUCAGACCCAGGUAUACGAUGUUCUGGAUUUUAUCGAAGAAUGGAUGUUUUGUGCUAAUAGUGUAUUUUAUGUUUGUUUUUUAGUGUGAUACAUGAAAACUAUGCAGGUUUCUGAUAUAGACACUAUCCUAUUUAAGAAUAUAUAAAAUCCCUAGAAAUACAUGUAUUUGUUUGAAGGGAGGAGUGAAAUCUUUGAAACCUUUCCAAUCUUCCAAUUUUGUGCAAAGUUUAGUUGUCAUUAGAGACUCUGGUUUUUAGCAUGAAAAUAUUAAAUAGUAGGAAAAAGCUCAUCUGAAGAACUUGGCUUCUGUGGAUAUAUUCUCUUUGGGAUCUGUGAUGGAUUUUAUUGCAUAAAAUUGAUUAAGAAAAAUAAGUAACAAACCUAGUUGUUGGUAAGGGAGGAUAGUUCUUCGGUCACGAAGAAUCCUUUAAAAGCAUUCUAUGAUGUAUUUUGCAUUGGUUUGAGGAGAUACAAGCAACAUAUUUUAUUGCUUGCUUUUAAAUUAUUUCAAAAUUUUCUUUUUGUCUUGUAAGAUUAGCUUUCAGUAACUGUGCUGUUACUGCGAAUCCAGCAAAUCAACUUAUCAACACUUCUUGAAAUCUUAAUUAGGAUAUUCAUUAGCAAUAGUAUUUGUUAGUGACUACAUCUGUCUCUUUGGGAUUAUAUGGAAACCACAAGCUAAUUUAAAGGGUAUCUUUGAAAUGCCAUCUGAUGGCUCUGUAUUUUAUGUUUAAGAAAGAAGUUGGCUCCUACUAGGAAUGCUGCUGGCUGCUACGUUAGUUGUCUCAGUGUCAGGUUGUCAAGGUCAUAUUUUUGCUCAUAAUUCAAAAUUUCAUCAGAAUUUAUUUUGACGGUUUUUAGUAACUGGUAGCUCACUUUCAUCCUCCAUACCCAAAACCCUUUCACGUCCUCUGAGUUUUGCAGUCAAAUUUAGGCACCACAGAUACACACUUCAUGUAGUCUUGGGCUUAAGACAAGCAAUGAUUUUUCUUAUUUUUAUUCCAAAUCUGAUUUUACAAAGGCUGGAGAAAAGGUGUUGCCAGCUGAAUAACUGCUAUUUAUUACUAUAACUUUAUUGCUCACAUUAAUGUUAUACCUUGGUUGUACCAGAAACAUGGUGUAAGCACAGAACAAGAGAGGGCUCUCUCCAAGAAAAUUAAUAUUCUUCUAUCUGUGAGAAGGCUAAAUUCUGUGUUCCCUUCCCUUUUCCCCUCACCAUCUCCUAGUCUAGUACUGUAGUCCAUGAAGAGGAGUCCUGUUGAAAUCAGUGUCACUGAUUUUUCUCCGUGGGACUAGAUAGUGAUGGAUACCGAAGAGUUAAUUGUUUUAAUGUUAGAAUUGCCUACAAACUUGAUGGCAGAGAUCUAAAUUUUCAAAGCAGACCCUAAGAUUUUCAUGUGUUUCUAGUGUAGUCUUCUAAAAAAUUCGGAUUAUCAAGUUCCUUUCUAUGGGACUGAAGAUGGGGGAACACUUACAACGUGCCUCUGCUUUCCUGCCUCAAAAUAUACAUAUAUCCCAGGUUUUUGCAUUAUUUCUUCUGCAAAUAAAAGAAUGUUUAUUUUAAAAUUACCCAAAAUGUUUUUCCUCAUACGUCAUGAUGCAAAUUUUACUGUAUGCCACAAUCUUGAUAGUAAACACUCACCAUUCCUCAGAAGGCA